GUGAAAACAAACAUUGACUGUCUGCACUGCAUAAACGUACCUGUCUAACACGAAAUAAAUGUCGCCGUUUCGUUCAUUUAGCACCUGUUUGAUAAGGGCACAAGCUCUUACGGUGUGUUCAAGUGCAUAAGGAAUUCAUGAAGCUACAGUAUCUGCUGCAUCAAAAUAAAACACUAUGAACCAUUAGUUGAAGAGUAUCAUUCAGACCAUCAGUCAACCGGGGA